CUUAAUAUUCCAAAUGACUUAAGCUCCGCCCAAGAGGGGCAGCAGUUCUCUUUUUCUAGCCCUACGACGUUGAACAACCAAACACCCAUCUCUCUUAAUCCCUCGCCAGGCUUGGCAGGGAAUACUCCCACCAUGACCCUAUCUAACCAAGACAUUCAAACCAUGGCUCUCCAGCUACAAACCACUGCUCACUGGUUGGGGCAGAUAAUGCAACAAAGGGGACUUAGCACCCCAGUAAACGCACUCCCAGUAGUGG
rnacentral:lncRNA from 1 species